rnacentral:rRNA from 1 species
UACGGAGGGGGCUAGCGUUGUUCGGAAUUACUGGGCGUAAAGCGCACGUAGGCGGCUUUUUAAGUCAGGGGUGAAAUCCCGGAGCUCAACUCCGGAACUGCCCUUGAAACUGGGAAGCUAGAAUCUUGGAGAGGCGAGUGGAAUUCCGAGUGUAGAGGUGAAAUUCGUAGAUAUUCGGAAGAACACCAGUGGCGAAGGCGACUCGCUGGACAAGUAUUGACGCUGAGGUGCGAAAGCGUGGGGAGCAAACAGG